AAAUCCUCGGUACCUGAGACAGAAGCCUAUCCCAGUAACUCUGAUGACACCCAGAUCCAGCCUGAGAAAAUCUAGCAGCCUCCACGAUGAUCACUUAUUCUCUCGAAUGCAUGAGAAAGAGUUGGACAUGAAAACAAAAAUGAUGGAAGCCAAAUAUCAUGAAGAGAAACUUAAACUGCAGCAGAAGCAUGAUGCUGAUGUU